CUAUGAUAGCAAGGUGAAGAGAAAACUUGGAUUUGCAUGGAUUAAUCCUUGGAAGAAUUCCUCGUCCCAGUGAAGUUCACAAAAUACAAAUCAGUGCAUGAUUGGCAUUGUGACAAAUGAUGGAUAUAACAGAAGGUAAAGACUCGCCACAUUGAACUCACUCACCAAUAAAAUUUAAAUAACUACCUGUCAAAAUGUUGCUGACACUCAAGAGGUGUUGCUUGGCUUGCAAAAAUAUGAAAUGUAGUUGAACCAUGGAAUUGAAUGUAAUUGAUAUGAACUGUAAAACAGAAUAUUGUGAAGUAAGUUUUUUUUAAAUAUUUCUGAUACUUAAUUUUUUCUAUUGCUUCAGAUGAAAAGCAUUAAUUCCAUCAAAUGUUAUGGAACUCAUGUUUGCUUCUAAGGCCAAAAAUGGAAAUAUAACGAAACCAAUUAAAACAGAUAUGGCUAACUGAUAUUAGUGAAAUGUCAUGUAUACGGUCAAAAAGAAGUCUGAGUGCUUUUUAAAGAAAUUUUGCUGCACCAAGCUCGGAAUUUUCCGGGAUGUAAAUUGUGAUUCCCCAUGGGUUUUUUUAAGAAACCAGUUUACGUUGACGCAGUAAGAGCUUCUAAUUCUAAUGCCAGAGUUCGUACGUUAUGAUUUCGUGAUCGUUUUAUGCCAACUAACCACGAAAGAUGUCAUGUAACUGUUUUUUGACAUGUCAAAAAAUUGUACGCGGCUAGAGAUGCUGCGUUUUGGAAGAAAGCUACUUCCACAUCACCGUUGGUCGCUGAUUUGUCCCGAAGAUGAAAUUUUAAAAUUUUAAUAAAUUGAAGUGCAUAUCUGG